rnacentral:lncRNA from 1 species
CUCAUUUAAUUACUUUCCUAUUUAGGACCUUGAUUUAGAAAAGUUAAAAACACAUUCCUAAAAUACCUACCAUAAAUAAAUGAGAAAAGUAAUUUUAGAUCUUCAAUUCCUAAAAUCUUAAGUUAAUUUUUAAAAAAAAUAUUUCAAGAAGGCAUCAAAUUAUUUUACAUUCUAAUAUUUCCUAAUUACUGUAUUAUUUAGAAACGGCAGUUAUGGUAUACGAACAUGUUCAACAUUUUAAGGGUAAAUUGGUAAUUCUAUCCAUGUCUUCUUAGAGGGACACGUAUGCUACAAUUAAUUUGACAAAACCACAAUUAAGCUCAACUUCAGUGUUAACAACUUCUCUCUCAUUCGCUGCUUCAAAGACCCAUCUCUGUGUGUGAGUAUAUCAACUUUCUUCUAAGUUUUUCUCCGUUCUUCGAUCUUUCAAUUUGUGAAAUUCUUUUGUUGAUGGGUAUGUGGUUGUUUAUGACGUCGGGUCUUACACUACUAUACUUGUGAUUUGGUGAAUUUUACUUCAUUCUCUUCCAUUCUUUGUUGCACCCAUUUCCUGGUGAUGGGAUUUUGAUAGAUCUGAUUUGGUUUUCUUCAUAAUUUGGAUUUUUUGUUGAAUUUCUUACAUGCAGGUCAACAUUUAAUUGGUAUCUCUUUUGCUCCGGAUUUUUCGGAAUAGUGUGCUUCCAAAGCCUCAAACUCUUUCCUCAUGGCAUCUUGCCAAGCUGGGAUAGGAGCUGCCUGGGAAUAUGUAUAUGGUUCAAAUUUUACUGGCUUAGAAGAGGAGCAAGAAAGGGAAUUGGGCAGCUUGUAGAUGUAAUCAUUUAAGUAAGAAGGAGGAUUAUGAGGUCUAUCAGAUUUUCUAAGGGGAAUAGAGGAUGGUGCAGGAGUAGCAGUAUCGGGAUUGAAGGAAGGAGAAGCAGGGGCAGAAUCAGGGACAGCAACUGAAGGAGAAACUGCAGCAUCUAUGUCAGGAGGAGAAGAGGUGCUGGGAGAAGUAGGAGAUGAAGAACCAUGUGUGAAAGGAGAAGCAGGAUGUGAUGUUGUGUUGGGGGUAACAUUAGUGGAAGAAGAGGGCAUAAGACAAUCAUGGGGAAAAGAAGGUAAAUGAGCAGGUGACAAAGGGGACUCAGAAACAACAGGAAAGGAGAAAUCUGAAUAAAAAGGAAAAUGCUGCUCAUGGAAAACCACAUCUCUGGAUAUGAAACACUGCUUGGAUUGCAAAUUAUACAACUUAUAGCCUUUCUUUGCAAAGGGAUAGCCAAGGAAUAUACAAGGAUUAGCUCUAGGUUUCAGUUUAUCUCGUUGAGGAAUUAGAACAGUGGCAAAACAAAGACAACCAAAAGUCCUUAAGUGAGAAUAAUUGGGCUUUUUUUGCCAAAUAGCAACUCAUAAGGAGAUUUAUUUUGAAGCAAGCUAGAGGGAAGUCUAUUUAUAAUAUAGGUGGAUGUGAGGAGACGGUCUCCCCAGAAUCUAAUGGGAACUUGGGACUGAAAAAGUAAGGCUCUAGAAGCUUCAAGAAGAGUUCUAUGCUUCCUCUCAACCACACCAUUUUGUUGAGGUGUGUGAGGGCAGCUUGUUUGAUGAAUUAUACCAUGUUCAGAAAAGAAGGAAAUAGCAGCAUGACUAGCUCCUAACUCUAAAGCAUUGUCAGACCUUAUACACUGAAUAGUCAUAUGAAAUUGUGUCUUUACAAGUGCAACAAAGACCUUAAGAAGAGGGAAAGCAUUACUCUUGGAGCCCAUUAAGUGAGUCCAAGUGCUUUCCAGUGAAAUGAUCAACAAUAGUAAGAAAGUAUUUAGAACCUGAGUAAGUAGGUGUGUGAUAUGGUCCCCAAGUGUCAACAUGGACAAGUUGGAAAGGCUUAGAGCUAUGAAUAGAGCUAUCAGGGAAAGGCAAUCUAGUUUGCCUAGCCAUUGGACAAACAUGACAUGUAAAAGACUGUGUGGAAGAAAUAGCAGAAGACACUUCAGGAAUACUUUUCAUUCUAAUAAAAGGAACAUGAGCAAGUCUACUACGCCAAACAAUAUCCAUCAUUUUAUUCAUAACAGCUUUAUUACAGGUGGAAGAAGCAGUAUUUACAAUAGAAGAAAUAGGAACAGGAUCACAAACAGAUGGUAAGCUGCAAGAAUUUGACAGAGUAGCUUGAUGUUGAGAAGGCUUUUCCCAUACAGACUUGUAUAACCCACAAUCCAGUUUACCAAGAUCCAGAGGCUUCUUCAGAGAGAAGGGUCCUGUAUGAGACAAGAAAGUCUGGUAAACUGAACUAUGCAAUCAAACUGGUCUGUGAGUUUAUGUACAGAAAUAAGAUUGUGUUUAAAAGAAGGUAGAUAGAGAACAUUUGUAAGAAUAAUGGAAUCAGUUAAGGCAAAGGAACAUGUACAAGUGACUUUAACUUUGUAUCCAUUUGAUAGGGAAACAAGGAAAGGAAUAGGUAAAGGUGUGAUAAUAUUAAUAAGGUAAUCUUUGUUAGAGGUCAUGUGAUCUGAUGCACCGGAGUCAACUAUCCAAGUUAAAGAAUCAGAUUGACUAAGUAGAGUAGAAUUAAAACUAUAUACUACAUGAUAAAUUUGUUACUUUAAGCUUCAUUUUUCCACCAGUUACUGAUUGAUCAAUAACAUGUCAAGCAUGUCUUAUCAAGUAUUGUUUCUACUUCUUCUUCAUUUAUCUACAGUGAAAUCUUCAAUUGUUUGCUCUCAAAUUCAUCAAACUAAAGCAUUUUAUGAUCCAAUUUAGUAGAGAUCUCUGUCUAUUUUGUAGUGCUUCUAAGGUUAGUACUGCACUUUAGAAUUUAGAUGCAUCAUGAGCUAAAAGCCUAAUUUAACAACUAAUGCCUGGUUGGUGAAACCUUUUAAUUCGCAAAUGGUAAUGGGAAAGUUACCUUGUGAUCCACCAUUCUAGCCUAUAACAUUAGUUUGUGGAGACGAAACAUUACUAAUGAAACAGUGCGAUUGGAUUGAUUAGCAGGGGAAAAAUAAAGGACUGCUGAUAUAUAAAUUUCAAAUAUUCUUUGUUGCAUCUACCAGUACAUUGCUGAUGGUAUUUUCUGUUUUAUGCCAUUUACCGACUUUUAAAUUGGGCCUACUGUUGCGAGUUAAUAUAUGCCUUAUUUCAGGCCAUUCUAGAGUAAACUGAAAUUUUGAGUAAGGAAGCCAUUAGGCCUAAGGUUGAGUUAUCGUUUCUUUUUUGGUAAUUAAGAAAGUUUUAUUAUCAGGGAAAAUAUAUGUACAAGUAAAGAAGCAAAACCCCUAAAGUUGGACAUAAGGCCCCAACUUUAGUAUAAGCAAACUAGCAUCUUAGACAAACUAUCAACGGCUAUCUACCAUUUGCAUCUCAGUUUACUACUUGAUUCAAAGCUAUAGCACUGGCUAGGGGUAAAAAUUCAAGUCUGCCACCUGCUUUGUUAGCCUUGGUUGCCAACUCAUUCUGCAUAUAACAUCAUGUAUGUUGUGUUGAGUUAUCUUUUUGCGCUAGAUAUUUAUGUUAAUUUCUAUUUCACUAAAAAUGCCCAAAGGUUUUUGGUUUAUGAUGGUACAUAUUCAUCUAUUCAAAAGCACCAAAUCCUUCAGUUAUAUAUGCUAUUGACAUCAUGUUUCUAUUUGCCGUGUCAUUAGAUUGCAAAUGUGUUUCUGCAAUUUCAUCAGGUACAUGAUUACUUAUCUCUGCUUUACUUAUGUAUCUGAUUAGAUUUUUAUGACAAUAACAUGUUUGAUUUUUUAUUAGAAAGGAAUAUUUUAAAGUCUGUCAAUUCAUUAGAUGUCUUUGAUCAAUAAUACGCGAGACUACAAAAAAAUAUUAACUCUUAGAUUCUGUGCACUAUUGGGUCAUGUUUUGCAUCAAGGGUGCAACAUGAAUCACUAUGUUGUUGAGAGUACUACAUCUAAUACUGGUGAUCUACUAAUUGAGAAAGGUUCCGAUUCUGCUGGUUCGUGCACGUCUUUAUGCAGCUGAAGUUGCACAUGCUCUUGAAUACAUAGUAUGGGAAUGAUUCGUUGAGAUAUUAAGGUACUUUUAUUACCUGGACACCUUUGUCAAUGAAAUAUAUUAGGAAAGUUUUGAGUUUAUAUUUAUGGCUGCCAGAAAACUUGCUACGUACUGCAGAUGGACAUAUUAAAAUCGUUAACUUUGGCAGUGUAAAACCAUGCAGGAUAACAGAAUAACAGUCCUUUUAUAUAUAACAUCAGGUAUAUCUUUCUUGAUGUUCGGUUGCUUCCGUAGAAAUUAGAAUCAGGUUAAGUUCCCAAAGAUAUGCUCUUUGUGCAUUUUUAUUACCAAAUUAAAUCACUUCUCCAGAUAAUAAAGCAUGCACUUUUGUGGGGACAGCUGCAAAGGUCCUCACAUUCAAAUGAAGGUUGGUAUGUAGAUGAUUUUAUCCUAUUUUAGAUCACUCAAUAAGAAAAUAUUUGUUGUAUGAUGCAGGAAUUUGUAGAGAUUUUGGUGAGCCUCAUUUUAGUUUCUGCUAAUCAACUUUCAGAAUACACCAACUUUGUCUGCCCUUUAAAUAUCAAUAUCAUAUUAAUGAACCUUUUAUACCCUUUAAGUUUUUUUCCCACCAUACUCUAGAAGUAUCAAUGUCAUAUUAAAAAGCAAAAGCAAAUAGCAUAUAGGACAUCCCUUUGCUUUUUUUUUUUCCUCUUUGCAUACCCUUAAAUGAUAUUUUAGCUUAGAUUUGUCUCAGUAUCUGAUCAAGCACCGGAGAAGGAGAAAAUAGUUCAAGGAAGACUAGGAAUAGACAUUUCCCAACCACUGUGAAGAUUGAAGAAUAAUAGGAAAGUUUAUUUCUCAUUAUAUCAGGUUAGUUUCACUUUCAACCUUGAAAGGGAUGUUACAGAUUUUUUGUUGCUGAGAUUCUGGUCUGUUUAGCUGCCUAAUACCAUAUAUCAUUUGGUUGAAUACUACAUUAUCUUCUAGAGAUAGAGCUGUCGUUGCCUGCAUUUUGGACGGAAGACAAACAACUGCCUGCAGUUACACAGCUUGAUAUAUUUUCAACAGGUUACUCCAUCACGGGAGAAAAAGGUCAACUAUUUUCAUCCUCAAAGCUUUCCAUAGCACGACUUGAGAUCUCAAAUGGCUGAUUGCAGGUGGACAAAAAAGGGACUUGCAUCAACUUUAGAAGUUUUAUUAAUUUUCACACUCCCAAGUUUGUGUGAUAAUUAUAAUUAAAAUAAUGGUACAUAAAAUACCUUUUGUAUGUGAUUCUAUAAUAUAGUGUCAAUUAUAACAUUCUAGCAUUCUACACAACCUUAUAGUGAAAGACAUUAGCUAAAUCUAUAUAGCCAUAUUAAUCAUGUUGGGCAGCUGCUUUUAUGUUGGGCCCGUGCAUAGCACGGGAUAGAAAAGGACAAUACAUUAGAAGGAAACUCUUAACUACUUUUGUUAUAAGAAUUUUUUUCGGCAACUUUGUCAAACAAAAACAUAGAAUCCAUUUUUUCC